ensembl:lncRNA
AACAGGUUGCUGACAGCAGGAAGAGGCAGAGGGAGGACAGCUGCUCCAGAGGCCCUGAGGAGCCUCCUGAGAGAAGACUCCGUGGGGAUGCUGCCGUCCUGUCACAGCGUAGCUCCAGCUCCCAGCCCUCCACCUCUUCCUCUACCCCGCCACAGGCCAGGCAGGAGGAUGUCCAGCUGGAGGUUCAGGUAAGACAGGUGAUCCAGCCAGGACCCCUCCAGGAGCCUAUGGAGGACAGUCAGCCUGACGACGACGCGACCUUCUCCCUCCUGCCGGAGCCCCGUGGUCUCUCACCCUCUUCUUUUCUUACAGUGUCCGAGAGCAUCAUGGCCUGGAUGUCUGACUGUCCAUUCAGCCGGGAGAUGUGAGACUCCUGCAGGAAACAGGCCUGGUGCAGAGCUUCACUGCUGGACCAGCCAGUAGCUGUGACAGGACCACACACACACACACACACACCUUUCAUUUGAACAUUUUAUUUUUAAUUCCAUAUUAGUUUAUAGAUAGGAUUGAAGUAUUUCUCUUUUUAGUAUGUUGAUAAGUUUUACAUUGUGAAGGCACCUCUCUAACUUCUGAUAUCAAGUUUGCUUUUGCCUGUUAGUGUUUUCCCUUUUUCCUUGAAGGUACCACAGGAACGUAUUUGCGACAGACCUGGUCCGAGCCUCCCAGGGACUAAAAGCCACUCGAGUUGCUCUGGUGUCUUUUCACCUGGACUUAACCUUUGUCUUUUACUGACGGACACACUUCACAUUUGUAGCUUUUUGUUUGCUUGUUUCCUUUUUUACAAUAAAGACCUUUAAUUUCAUGUUUGUCUUGGCCUAAGAGCCAGGUUAUGACACCACAAAAAAAUAUAUUACAGUAGACAUAGUAUCAUUUGUCAUAAAAGAAUGUGAAUAUAAUUUGUCAUUAAAUAUUCCAUUAUGAAAAAUAUUUUUUAAUAUUAGCAUGAUAUAGAACAAUGUCAAAAGUCAUAGUAUAGUACAUCUUUAGAAAGUCAUAAAAAAGUUAUAGUAUUUCAUGAAAAAUGUGAAAAGACAUCAUCUUGUAGUCUGAUCCCUUCAAUAUUCAUUAUACUGUAGAUAUUAAACCAUGUAGAUAGUUUUAACUUCUAAAAAGAUUAAACCAACUUUGCAGAAACAAUCCCUGCUGCUCUGAACAAUCCACAGACCUCACUGCCAACACUUUAUUGUGAGGGACCUUUUCUUUAAUAGAAAGUGGUAGAAAGUCGUCCAAGAGAAAACUUUAGUGUGAGGUCUGUGAAUUAUCCAGAGCAACAGUGUCAUUGUUUUCGUAAAAUUUUCAUUUUUUGUGAGUAACUUAAGCAAAAUUCCUCUCACCUCAAGUGUAUUGAGAAGGAAGGAUCUGGAAAAAUUAAACCAAAACUAUCAGCGUGCCCCACUAAAGGUAAAUAUUUGUCAUUUGGGGGAACUGAUCCUUUAAAUCUUAGGACAAGAACACUAAACCACGAGACAAUAGCUGAAGUGCAAGCGUUUGUUUUUCCUAUUAACCGUCAGCAGAGAAACGAGACGAAACAAAGAGACACUGGAAUCAGAUCUUCUUGAAAGCUGCUACGUCGACACUCUGGAUCUGAAACAAAGCAAAAAGAAGAAACUUAAAUUACUUUACAGGAUAUAGCUAAACUGUUUGUCAAGUUACUGAAUGAAGUACAAUCUUUCCGCUUUUGUUCCAGCCAAAUUUUGACCACAUGAUGGUAACAAUGUGCUGACGGUGCCUGAAAAGCAGAUUCACUGACAUGUACAGCUGCCUGUUUAUUAUGGAGCCAGGACAGG